rnacentral:lncRNA from 1 species
CGAAAUCACUUUUCCUAUAAAUACAGGAAAACAUGAGCCACGUGACAGUGCUGUGCCAUGCAUCAGCCUCAAGUUUACUGUGGCUGCUUAAAUUCAGUUUAAUGACCAAUGCUUCAUUUGAACUGGCCACACUUCCAGGUAACAUUAAAAUUAUAAAUAAUGUAUGUAGAUUAAUAGUAAAAUAAAACUAAUUUAUUUACCAGCUCCUGCCCAAAGAAGGACGUGUUUUAUGAUUUUGUGUGAUCCCCAUCUACCCAUUUCUGUUCCCCAGAUAUACUGCUCUUCUUAUUUUUUAUGAUCAAUUUCUUGCCCUUCUUUUUUUUCCCCCAAUACUGAUGACUGAACCCAGGGGCACUCUACACUGAGCCAAAUCCCC